CACCGGGACGGUGACAUUUAAGGGUGGGUGAAUGUAGCGGGUAGGGCGUAGGCAGCGGGAAUUGCGCCUUGAUUGAAUCAGGUGGUGGGCGUUUGGCGUUGCACCUUUAAAUGUAGCAAGCUGGCGGUUUCUCUGAUUAGUGUUUUACUAUAGAUUCUUGGUUCCUUGGACUCUUGGUUGGUUGUACGAGUUGAUCUCGACUUGGUGUUUGUGCGGUUAUUCAGUGCCGUGGUUACAUCUAGCUCUGUCUUCACGAGCCCUCACCGGCUACGGAUUGUGUCUGCGUGUUUCAAUGAAAAUUCGCUGAUUUAGAGUAUGACCACUACAAGUUUGCCGAGUGCUGUUUGUUGUGCUGAGAAUAUUGGCCUGGGAAUGUAUGAGUAAAAACCAGACGGAAUAAGGCGAUUGCUACAGUAUUACAACUAAACAAGCUCUUGGUUCGACGCUGCGGUCUGUGUCCAUACAGGAGGACCGUCAUAUGCCAUCUUGGCCACUGUUUUUCCUGUGCCCUGUUUUUAGUAUUCAGUUGUGUGUGUGUGUGUGUGGUGUGUGUGUGUGUGUGUGUGUGGGAGGGAGGCCCACUGUGUUGUUCAUUAGUCUUCCUCUGUGUGUGUUGCUGUAUGUUUUAUGUUUGUAUCUUGGGCCAUUGGGUUGGUGCAAUAUCCUGGGGGGGGGGAUAACAAUUUUGUUGUGUGGUCACUGGUUUGCUGAGUGUAAAUUUAUUUUGUUUUCUGUGCAUAUGAUUUGUGAUGUGCCUUAUUUAUUCUGUGUUUGCUGAUUGAGUUUUGCUGAUUUUUGUUAUUCAUUUACACACUUUGAUUUUGCACUUUGUUGUCCCUGUCCCUGAAUUUGUUGACCAGAGGCCUAAUGUUUGUUAUUUUAAGUGUGUCUAACUGGAGAAAAAUAAAAUAAACUUUAUUUUAUAGUACUCCAGUCCCUCUCUCUCCUUUUAUUUCCCUUUAUUGGGAUAGCCUGCUUGUGAAUAUAUAAAAUUUAGAUUGUUGGUUGACUGGUUUGACAAGGCCCCCUAGGGGUUACACAUAGAGAGAGAAUAUAUUACUAAUUUACACUGACCAAAAUUAUAAACGCAACACUAUUGAUGGCGGUCAUAUAAGUAUGAUUUAAAUCAUGCUAAUGCACUUCCAUUAAUGCCAACAAAGUUUUCUAAUCUAUGCAAAAGAAUGUUGUGGUCAAUAGUGUCGAACGCAGUGCUAAGAUCCAAUAGCACUAAUAGAGAGAUACAACCACGAUCAGAUGACAGCUCUGGUGGACAUCCCUGCAGUCAGCAUGCCAACUGCAUGCUCCCUCAAAACUUGCAACAUCUGUGGCAUUGUGCUGUGUAAUAAAACUGCACAUUUUAGAGUGACUUUUUAUUGUGGCCAGCCAAAGGCACACCUGUGCAAUAAGCAUGCUGUCUAAUCAACAUCUUGAUAUGCCACACCUGUGAGGUGGAUGGAUUAUCUCGGCAAAGGAGAAGUGCUCACUAACACAGAUUUAGACAAAUUUGUGAACAAUAUUUGAGAGAAAUAGGCCUUUUGUGUACAUAGAAAAAGUCUUAGAUCUUUGAGUUCAGCUCAUGAAAAAUGGGGGCAAAAACAAAAGUGUUGCAUUUAUAAUUUUGUUCAGUGUAUAAUAGUCAUAUAUAUAGAUAAGUGAGCCUGGUGUGCUUUUUCUUAGCAUCGGUUUCCAUAGUGACUCAUGGUUCUGUUGAGUCUUGUGUGUUAACUGAGAAUAUAUUCUGAGUUGACUGAAUUUAGACUAAUUUUGAUUUCCUUCUUUCAAAGUUAUAUUCAGCAUAUUGCUGUGCUGUAUUAACAACAGCUAUGGUACAUCAUGUUAUUUGAAAUGUUCAGUCCACAGCUGAAAGUCACAGCAUAGCCUACAUGAGAAUACUUUUAUUACAUUGUGAACAUAGCUGUUGAUUUGCAUGGAAGGUAACAUUAAAUGAAUUCAAAACUCUAAUUCAAAGCUACUGUAAUUCGCCUGAGGUUUACCAUAAUUCAGAAGAAAGAGUCUUUAAAAAAGAUAUUGCUCAUACGUUCUCAUCACCAGUGUCAUGGGCAUAAGUGCCUAUUAUCAUCAUCAGUAAAUUAAGAAAAUGGCGGUGCAAGAAGGUGAUGAUUUAUUAUCAGUAAGGCUCAGGAGCUCAGUAAAAAUGCUGUCCUGUUUUGUAACCGGCAUUAUUUUUUCUAGCAUGAUAUGACCUGCAAUUAUCAAACCUUCUAUAUUGCAUCAUAUUGCUUCUUGUUAUUUAGUCUAUCCACUCUCACUAAUUCAUGAAUGGAGGGUUUAAAAAUCUCCUGCUAAGCUUAAUUAGCGAUAUUCAUUAUGAAGAUAUGCAGGCAUAUUUUCUAUUUAAAUUGACGAGAGGCACUGCUGCAUCACUUGUAUUCAAUGCUCUUUUUAAGACUUCAUAUUGUAUUGCUAAUUAGAUGAUAAAUUAUGAGUUAAUGCCAUUAUCUGGAUUUGCUCACCAUGUGUGAAGUACCU
ensembl:lncRNA